rnacentral:rRNA from 1 species
UGUGUAUCAGUACAUGGCAUAUCAAUAAGCGGAGGAAAAGAAACUAACUAGGAUUCCCUCAGUAACGGCGAGUGAAGCGGGAAGAGCUCAAAUUUGAAAUCUUCAAGGUUCUACCUUGACGAAUUGUAGUUUAAAGAAGUGUUUUCUGUUGGAGUUUUGGUAAAAGUUCUUUGGAAUAGGACAUCAUAGAGGGUGAGAAUCCCGUAUUUGACCAUUAUUUCCAACUUUGUGAUACACUUUCAAAGAGUCGGAUUGUUUGGGAAUGCAGUCCAAAAUGGGUGGUAAAUUUCAUCUAAAGCUAAAUACUGGCGAGAGACCGAUAGCGAACAAGUACCGUGAGGGAAAGAUGAAAAGAACUUUGAAAAGAGAGUUAAACAGUACGUGAAAUUGUCAAAAGGGAAGCGUUUGACACCAGUGUUGUUUUCUCGAAAAUCAAUUAAAAAUGGUGGGAUGUUGUGUUGUAUUGACUUUAUCAGCUUUCUGCACUUUUUUUCCUAUCUUUUUUAAUGCACUUUUCGUUUAACAAGUCAACAUCAAUUUCUUUUGUUGUAAAAGAGUCAUUGGAAGGUGGCUUUCUUUUCGGAGAAAGUGUUUAUAGCCUUUGGCUUCUGCAAUCGGAGAGAUUGAGGUCUGCAGCGUAGAUCCUUCGGGGUUAGAUACAUUUGUGCUAAGUUAUAGCCUUUCAUAGACAACUUGUUGACUAUGAUCAGUCAUGUAGCUUACUCGCUUAUGUCAUUUUACCUACGCUUAGGAUGUUGACAGCAGUAUAGACUGU